rnacentral:rRNA from 1 species
UGGGGAAUUUUGCACAAUGGGCGCAAGCCUGAUGCAGCCAUGCCGCGUGUGUGAAGAAGGCCUUCGGGUUGUAAAGCACUUUCAGCGGGGAGGAAGGCGGUGAGGUUAAUAACCUCAUCGAUUGACGUUACCCGCAGAAGAAGCACCGGCUAACUCCGUGCCAGCAGCCGCGGUAAUACGGAGGGUGCAAGCGUUAAUCGGAAUUACUGGGCGUAAAGCGCACGCAGGCGGUCUGUCAAGUCGGAUGUGAAAUCCCCGGGCUCAACCUGGGAACUGCAUUCGAAACUGGCAGGCUAGAGUCUUGUAGAGGGGGGUAGAAUUCCAGGUGUAGCGAUGAAAUGCGUAGAGAUCUGGAGGAAUACCGGUGGCGAAGGCGGCCCCCUGGACAAAGACUGACGCUCAGGUGCGAAAGCGUGGGGAGCAAACAGG